rnacentral:rRNA from 1 species
AGUGAACGCUGGCGGUAGGCCUAACACAUGCCAGUCGAACGGCAGCACAGUAAGAGCUUGCUCUUACGGGUGGCGAGUGGCGGACGGGUGAGGAAUACAUCGGAAUCUACUUUUUCGUGGGGGAUCACGUAGGGAAACUUACGCUAAUACCGCAUACGACCUACGGGUGAAAGCAGGGGAUCUUCGGACCUUGCGCGAUUGAAUGAGCCGAUGUCGGAUUAGCUAGUUGGGGGGGUAAAGGCCCACCAAGGCGACGAUCCGUAGCUGGUCUGAGAGGAUGAUCAGCCACACUGGAACUGGGACACGGUCCAGACGCCUACGGGAGGCAGCAGUGGGGAAUAUUGGACAAUGGGCGCAAGCCUGAUCCAGCCAUACCGCGUGGGUGAAGAAGGCCUUCGGGUUGUAAAGCCCUUUUGUUGGGAAAGAAAAGCAGCAGGUUAAUACCCCGCUGUUCUGACGGUACCCAAAGAAUAAGCACCGGCUAACUUCGUG